UUGCCCGCCAGUCGAUGCACGGACGCAAAAAAACAAGACUCCCAUAUUGGGUUUAUCAUAAAAUAUUAAUUAUAAAACCCCCUUAGGUUUAUGUACUUAUAGCUAAGGGGGCUACAGUUUGUAUUUUUAAAAUCAACUGGAUUGGAUUAAACUGGUAUAUACAGAGAUGGACACUUAUUGUUCCGUGUUCUUCCCUCGGCAAAUUGCAAUUUUUAGAACUUGGCGAUGACGUCUCCUGUCUGUGUUUGUCUCCUGUUCCACCUCUUCCUGCUGGCGCUUUCCACCUACUGACCCCUAAUUGGCUUUCGGCUUUGGCUCUAUCGUCGACUUAUGUAAGGCAACCUUUAGCGGGGGCUCCCACUUACAACAACCACACCGUCGUCGUCCCUGAUCCCAACCGGCACGCAAUAACCCCGCCACUUAGGAAUCAGGCUCAUGUAUUAUGGAAAUUGUCCCUAUAAUGGGCCUAUAAUUUGAGGAAGCCAGCAAGAUGGGCUAAUUUUAAUUUUUUACAUUAUUUUCAGCAAAUAUGUAAAGCAUGCCCCGUGCACCUGCAGCACGCUCUAAUUAAAAUGAC